AAUUUAUAAGUUUAAUUAAGUUUGAAAUUAAGCAUUGGAAUAGCACUAUUCCACCAAAAUGGUGGAAUAGCAAAUCCCUUGCUAUUCCGGGAUAACCAAGAAUUGCAAGGUUUGACCGGGAUAAAAUAUCCCGGCCAAAUUUCAUCCCGUUUGGCGGAAUAGCGGGGAUAACUUUCGUUAUCCCCGCUUAUCCCGCGAUCCAAACGGGGCCUUAGAAUAUAGCGGUUGUUUCACACUGCUACUUUAAUACCAUAUUAAAUAAUAAAAAUAAUUAUUAUUUUUUAAAAAGUUAAACUAGUAAAGAACGGUAUUUAAAUAUUUUUAUAUUUAACGACCUUUAUUCUCUAAAAGAUUAAACUGGUCUUUUAGAGAACGAUGUUUAAAUAUUUUUAUACACAGUAAGAAUGCAAAUGAAUUUGGAUUCAUGGAGCUCCUAUCAAGAUCUACCACGUAUAACACGAUAAUUGAGAGUCAAAAUAAGCACAAAAAAAAAAAGAAUAAUUCGUCUCGAUGCGCCCUGAAUAGUUAAA
rnacentral:lncRNA from 1 species